rnacentral:lncRNA from 1 species
AAGGGGGGGUCACCGGUCCUUCACCGGACCUUCGCCGGCGCCGGCGCCGGCCACCAUACACGGUGGCCGGAAAAGGUAAUUUUAUAUCUUUUUUUUUUUAUUUUUUUUGCUUAAUAAUAUAGUAUAAAUAUAUAUUAGAAUAUCUUGGAAUAUAGAAGAAAGAAGAAAAAGAAAAGCAAAAGAAAAAAAAAACGAUUCGAUAAUAGGAAAAAAUAGAUUUUAAUCACCUCUUUAAUGUUGAUCCUGAUUUGAACAAUAUAUAAUACUGAUCUAUUGUUGUUCUUUUUGAAAACUAAUGUAUGUAUUAUCUGUUUUUUGUUUUUAACGCCGAGAGCUUUUUUUUCUUGUUUUACAAAUUUCAUUCGGCUUUUAUAUCCGAUUUUGUUACACUGCCUACUUUCUAUUCUUUUGCUGAUGUUACGUGCUCUGUUUGCUCUGCAGGUAGUGGUUGAACGGUGGGAAUGGGGGUUGACAGAAGGGUCGGUGGAGGCAGACAGUAUGGGGCUAGGGACAGAGGUCAGAGGUGCAGCCGAUUUUAGGGUUUCUUUUUCUCUUUUUUCAUUUUGGGUAUUGGGCUACUUGGGUUUUAAAGGUUAGUGGGCAUUGUUUGGGUUUUAAGGGGUUUGGGUAAUUGGGUUUGAAAGUAAACGGGCUGAUGUAUGUUGGGUUUUUAAAGGGUUAGUGGGUCUUAGGGUUUGAUGUGUUAAGGGGUCUAGGGAUUGGGUUAUAGAUGGGCUUAUAUUGUAAAAGGGUUUGAAAUUGGGCCAAAAUUGGCCUGUCACAAUUAUUAUCAUAGUAUUCUAUUUUUAUUAUUAUUCAUCUUUUUAAUACUCUAUCUAGUUUGUUCGUUAUUUUACUUCUAAAUGUAAUAUUAUACGUAUAUCUAUUUAUCUUCAAAUUUUGUAUUACUUCAAGUUGUUCAAUUUAUUUAUUUAUAUAAUUUCGAUUUUU